UACGUAGGGUGCGAGCGUUGUCCGGAAUUAUUGGGCGUAAAGAGCUCGUAGGCGGUCUGUCGCGUCUGCUGUGAAAUCCCGGGGCUCAACCCCGGGCUUGCAGUGGAUACGGGCAGACUAGAGUUCGGUAGGGGAGACUGGAAUUCCUGGUGUAGCGGUGGAAUGCGCAGAUAUCAGGAGGAACACCGAUGGCGAAGGCAGGUCUCUGGGCCACUACUGACGCUGAGAAGCGAAAGCAUGGGGAGCGAACAGG
rnacentral:rRNA from 1 species